rnacentral:rRNA from 1 species
UGGGGAAUCUUGCACAAUGGGGGCAACCCUGAUGCAGCGACGCCGCGUGAGCGAUGAAGCCCUUCGGGGUGUAAAGCUCUUUCGGCAGGGAAGAAUGAUGACGGUACCUGCAGAAGCAGCUGCGGCUAACUACGUGCCAGCAGCCGCGGUAAUACGUAGGCAGCAAGCGUUGUUCGGAGUUACUGGGCGUAAAGGGUGCGUAGGCGGUUCUUUAAGUUCGGUGUGAAAUCUCCCGGCUCAACCGGGAGGGUGCGCCGGAUACUGAAGGACUUCGAGUGCGGGAAGGGAGAGUGGAAUUCCUGGUGUAGCGGUGAAAUGCGUAGAUAUCAGGAGGAACACCGGUGGUGUAAACGGCUCUCUGGACCGUAACUGACGCUGAUGCACGAAAGCGUGGGUAGCAAACAG